CCUCUCAUUCGACCAACGGGCACUGGUUGGGUGGCUGGCCCGCCCCAGCAAGGCACUGAACCCAGAUACCUCGGGAGGCAGCGGGAGGGAUGAAGUCUGGGCCCUGCUCUGCCCGGGUGUUAUCCCACUUUGCUACACUCUAACGGGCCAAUGCGGUCAACCGCUCUGGUCUCAGUUUCUUCAUCUGUACAAUGGGGUUAAUAGUGCUUCCUUUCCCAGGGUUGCUAGGGGGAAUAAUGGAUUGAUGAUGGUGCCUGAGACAUGAUGAGCACAACACGGGCACUAGUUGGUAUCCGCAGUGAUGAGCUGUUCUGGAAAGGGUCUGCUCACAAGUCUUCCUUCUCUCCCUGUGCUUACCUGUGCUCGCUGGGAUGAGGGGUGUGCCCCUCCCCCCACGCAAUGGCUGUGGAGCCAUAGGACUCAGUUUGGCCAGUGGGAGAUGGGAGGAAGUGACAGUGAGCCAGUUCCCAGUGGGUGAUGGCCUUCAGAGAUGCCACAUGUCUCAGCUCCCUUGUGCUUUGUCCAUCCACCCCGGGGAGCCCUGGCCCUGCAGCAGCCUCUGUCCCCAGAGUGAGAGACACAAGCAGCAGACCAAACCCACCUGAAUCCUAACAGAGUUGCAGGCUCAUGGGUAAGAAAAAUACGUGGUCUUGUAAGCCACAGAGAUCCGGGAGGGGGCGGUUUGUUUCCCAGCAUUAUCACAGAAGCUGCUGACUGAUGCACACACUAAACAAACUGUCACACACGCAGAGACCGCACUGCGACGUGCAGCGGUGCAAGGACUCCCAGGAGGCCGUGGGAAUGCAGAAGGCACUCGUCCCAGCCCUGAGAGGCAAGAGAGGUGGAGCGUUCCCAGAGAAGAGUCCUGAGCACCUGUUCCCUCCCCUCCCUUCUUUGCUGGACGAGCACAUUCUGAACACUUAUUGUGGGCCAGGCCUGGGCUGGGUGCUGGGCACAGACCCAGUAGGGAAUAAGACAGGGUCUGUUUUCAGGGAGUUCAAGUUCAGAAGUCUCGUGUGGGACAAGGACAACACUCGAGAACGGGUCAUACCUGCAGGUAACCCCUACCUGCGCCUCUCCCCACUUACAGACAAUGGGCCAGGCCCUGUCUCUCCAGCGCUUCUCCUGGAUUGCCGCCCCGUCUUAAUCCUCAGACAAACCUGCCAGGGGACACUCCUGGACAUUUGUAGCCAAAAGAAGACAGGUGAGAACUUCAGGCUCUUCCUGCUGCCUGGGUGGGGGCUGCUGCUUCGGACAGCCGACAGGUCUCACAUGUGAUCUGACCACCCUAACCUGGGCCGUUCCCCCCGCCCCAGGCUCAUUUUCAACCAGGAAGGUCUCCAGGUGCAACACAGAGACAGAAGCAGAACCAAAGCCUCCUGCUUCUCUGCGCUGAGCAUGUCUGGCUCUCCCGGAAGGCUGACUGUGAAGACACCACGGAAGUCACAGUGCAGGCCAGUGACCUUCAGCCCAUGGGCUGUAAGAACUUUCAAACCAGGCAGUACCCAACUAGUCAGGGGCACUGACCUCUUUUGCCUUAGACUGUCAAAUUUAAAAAAGAAAUGACAACAGCCAACACAACAGUAGCCGUCUGGUGUGAAGGAGUCAAAAUUAUACCUAUUUUUUGCCAGAUCAGCAAAGAAUGCCUUUUUGGGUGUGGUGCAGAAUCUCGGUCAGUAGUUGACGUGAGCCGUGAGAUGAUCAAGGUCGAGGGUCACUGGUCCCAGGGUCCCCCCUGAAUCUAACGAGGACCCCAGCCCACAAGUCAGUGUUCUCAGACCCCCCAGAGGCACAGAAAUAACCACUGGGACCCUGCCCCUGACACACGCUGCCGUGAGCAGAGUCCUGGGGCCACCAGUCCUGUCGCCGAGGGCACGACCGAGCCUCCACCGGAGUCGCACUUGGAGCCGCGGACUCCAGCGGCCGUCACCUUCCGCUUGGUGCGACGCGGCCACGCCACAGAGGCUGACGGCACUCCCCAGGGCCGGGCGUCUUUGGUGCCACGCCGAUUUUUACAGUCGGCCAGAUCAGAUUUUGUUCUCGUUUCCGGGAAGCCUGAUUUAUUGAAAACUUGACUCUGGUUCCCUUAUCCGAAAUACCGUCGGCCUGCCCUCCCGGGCAGCGCUGGACACCAUCACGGGGGACGCAGACGACAGAGGUGCGGUGGUGCACCAAGGUCGGACACCGUUCGCACACUCGGUUCUGUGGUUGGAAACUGCUUCACUCAGGUAGCAAAUGGUUCUGAAUGGUGAAAACACAGUCAUUUGCCCUGGCUGGCAUAGCUCAAGUGGACUGAGCGCAGGCUGCAAACCAGGCAUCACAGGUUCGAUUCCCAGUCAGGGCACAUGCCU